CCUACGGGGGGCAGCAGUAGGGAAUCUUCCACAAUGGACGAAAGUCUGAUGGAGCAACGCCGCGUGAGUGAAGAAGGGUUUCGGCUCUUAAAGCUCUUUUUUUAUUUAAGAAAGCUAUAUGUAUUAACUGGCCUUUAUUUUACGGUAAUUACUUAGAAAGUCACGGCUCACUACCUUCCAGCAGCCGCGGUCAUCCGUCUUUUGCAAGCGUUUUCCUGCUUUAUUGGGCUUAAAGCGAUUUCAU
rnacentral:rRNA from 1 species